rnacentral:rRNA from 1 species
CCUACGGGAGGCAGCAGUGAGGAAUAUUGGUCAAUGGCCGAGAGGCUGAACCAGCCAAGUCGCGUGAGGGAAGAAUGUCCUAUGGAUUGUAAACCUCUUUUGUCAGGGAGCAAAGUCACCCACGUGUGGGUGUUGGAGAGUACCUGAAGAAAACGCAUCGGCUAACUCCGUGCCAGCAGCCGCGGUAAUACGGGGGAUGCGAGCGUUAUCCGGAUUUAUUGGGGUUAAAGGGUGCGUAGGCGGGUUAUCAAGUCAGCGGUAAAAUCGUGGAGAUCAACUCCAUCCAGCCGUUGAAACUGAUGAUCUUGAGUGGGCGAGAAGUAUGCGGAAUGCGUGGGGUAGGGGUGAAAGGCAUAGAUAUCACGCAGAACUCCGAUCGCGAAGGCAGCCGACCGGCGCGCAACUGACGCUCAUGCACGAAAGCGUGGGUAUCGAACAGGAUUAGAUACCCUAGUAGUC